AGUGCUGUGCAGCCAAAAAAAAAGGGCUUUGCAAAAAAGAGGGGGGCAGUGCUGUGAAACCUGCGAUGCACCUCCCUCCCAGGGACAGCCCUGCAGCGCAGCGGGGUCCUGGCCUGUGGACCUGAGCAGCUCACAGCCAGGGAGGGCUUACAGAGUCAGGGUCACAGGCCUGGCAGUUCCCCCUGUGAGACGGGACAGCAGGAUGAUGGGGAGUUGGAGGGCUGCGCCUGAAGCCUGGGAAGUGGGGCAUCUCUGCUCUUCUCGCCCACCCCCCUCUCCCAUUUCUCCAUGCAAGGCCGCGGUGUCCUC
rnacentral:misc_RNA from 1 species